rnacentral:rRNA from 1 species
GGAACGAAACGGUGAGCUCUAAUACAGCUUGCUAAUGACGGUACCGUAAGAAUAAGCACCGGCUAACUACGUGCCAGCAGCCGCGGUAAUACGUAGGGUGCGAGCGUUAAUCGGAAUUACUGGGCGUAAAGCGUGCGCAGGCGGUGAUGUAAGACAGAUGUGAAAUCCCCGGGCUCAACCUGGGACCUGCAUUUGUGACUGCAUCGCUAGAGUACGGUAGAGGGGGAUGGAAUUCCGCGUGUAGCAGUGAAAUGCGUAGAUAUGCGGAGGAACACCGAUGGCGAAGGCAAUCCCCUGGACCUGUACUGACGCUCAUGCACGAAAGCGUGGGGAGCAAACAGGAUUAGAUACCCUGGUAGUCCACGCCCUAAACGAUGUCAACUGGUUGUUGGGUCUUCACUGACUCAGUAACGAAG